AGCAGCCGCGGUAAUUCCAGCUCCAAUAGCGUAUAUUAAAGUUGUUGCAGUUAAAAAGCUCGUAGUUGAAUUUCGGGAUCAGUUGGUCGGUCGUGCCUCGGUACGUACUGGUCAAAUUGAUUCCUACCUUCUGACGAACCACGAUGUCAUUAAUUUGGUGUCGUGGGAAAUCAGGACUGUUACUUUGAAAAAUUAGAGUGUUUAAAGCAGGCUCGCGCUUGAAUACAUUAGCAUGGAAUAAUGAAAUAGGACGUUUGAUUCUAUUUUGUUGGUUUCUAGGAUCGACGUAAUGAUUAAUAGGGAUAGUUGGGGGCAUUAGUAUUCAAUUGUCAGAGGUGAAAUUCUUGGAUUUAUUGAAGACUAACUACUGCGAAAGCAUUUGCCAAGGAUGUUUUCAUUAAUCAAGAACGAAAGUUAGGGGAUCGAAGACGAUCAGAUACCGUCGUAGUCUUAACCAUAAACUGUGCCGACUAGGGAUCGGAUGAUGUUAAUUUUUAAUGACUCAUUCGGCGCCUUAAC
rnacentral:misc_RNA from 1 species